rnacentral:rRNA from 1 species
GGGAUUAGAUACCCCACUAUGCCUAGCAGUAACCCCAGAUGGCCCUUAAACCAGCCAUCCGCCAGAGUAUUACAAGUGAAAAACUUAAAACUCAAAAGACUUGACGGUGUCCCACAUCAGCCUAGAGGAGCCUGUCCCAUAAUCGAUGAUCCACGUUAAACCUCACCUCCCCUUGCAACCCACACCAGCCUAUAUACCGCCGUCCCCUGCCAACCUUGCAAAAGAACCAACAGUUGGCCUAAUAGCCCCCGCUAAAACGUCAGGUCAAGGUGUAGCCCACGGGGAGGAGAAGAUGGGCUACAUUUUCUAUUACAGAAACCACCGACCCGCGCCAUGAAAACUGCGCUAGAAGCUGGAUUUAGCAGUAAGUUAGACAAGACACGUCUAACUGAACAAUGCCCUGGGACGCGUACACACCGCCCGUC